UGUUAAUUAGUUUGACCUAAUCGUUCCACAGUGUAUUUCAAAACACGCACAUGAUAUACAAUUUUGACCAAAAAAAAGUUAGGGUCGGCGAUAUAGUUCAGUGCCACAGUACCUGCCUGUCAAGCGCAAGGUCCUGAGUUCGAUUCCCGGUACCAAAAAUAAAUAAAUGUUAAACAAAAAUUUUAAUGCUACUGAUGGGGAGGAGAGUGUGAAAACCCAAAUUAAAAAGUGUCUGACACCGCAGGCGCAGUUCAGCGGUAGAGCGAAUGCCUAGCAGGCAGGAAACCUUGGCGGGGGGAGGUGGACCGAACACUUGUUCUGCUCAAAACAAAGUUCUCAGCGUCAUCAGCGAUAGGAAAAAGCGCGUUAAAACCUAGUGAGAUACCACUUCCUCUCCGUUACGAAGGCUAAGAAAGUCACAAAAGUAGGCAGCGCCUUGCGCGACACAGAGGCAGGGCGCCAGUGGCCGUUCCGAAGCUGCCAGUAGUAUGCAGUGCGCACGCGCGGCAGAAACCUCUGUCAGCGUCCCGUUAAACACACGCGCAAAGGGCCGCAAAGGCCACAGGUAGCCCUGGCCCCCAUCUCUAAGGCUGAUGGGGUCGGGGUGGGGUCACCUGCUAUUUCCGUCUAAGGGUGGGCCUUGCAGUCAGAGGGUCGGUCUCCGGCCUCAUUCCUCACCCCGCCAGGGUCUGCUCGUCUGGACAGAGAAAUGGCUGGAGCAGUGGCAGGGCGCGACGUACACCAGACCGGGGCUGUCCCUCUUGAGCCGCCGUAGUCAAGACCACGCCCUCUCCCGCUUCUGGCACAUGGUGCCAUCUGGCCAAUCACAGAACGUCAGGCUGCGUCUUCGGGAUUGGGGUGGACAUGGGCACUCUAGAGGAGCUGACUUCUGGAGGCAGAGAAGCCCAAGACAGGGAGCCCCCACCUGAUGAGGGCCACCUGUGUCACCCGAAGGCUGGAGGCAGAUGGACAAGAGCAGAUGAGACACCACAGUUUUUUGGCACCUUGCUCCAUUCCGCAAACCCACCAUCCUGACGAUGAAAUCCACAGAAGAUGCUGAUUUCCCCGUCCUUUGUUCUCCACCUCUGAUGAAAACUCCGGGAA